AUGCACAAAGCAUACGAUAGAGUCGAGUGGCCUUUUUUGAAAGAGAUUAUGUUGAGAUUGGGUUUUCGUCAAGAAUGGGUGAAUUUGAUUAUGCAAUGUGUCUCAACUGUCGAAUACAGAGUAAGGAUCAAUGCAGAGCAAAGUGAGAGCUUCAAGCCUACUAGAGGAUUGAGACAGGGUGAUCCGCUAUCAUCAUACCUCUUUUUGCUAUGCACAGAGGGGUUGAAUGCAUUGCUGACACAUGCCGAGGAAAACGAAAACAUAUCAGGAGUUAAAGUAUGUAGGGAAGCCCCGCCAAUCACAAAUCUUCUCUUUGUGGAUGAUUCAUUGAUGUUGAUGAAAGCCAAUCAGCAUAGUGCGGCAGCCCUGAAAUCAGCAUUAGAUUUAUAUUGUGCGGCGUCGGGACAACCGGUAAGUGUGGAAAAAUCCAGCAUUUUUUUAGUCCUAAUACAACGGUUGAGAUCAGGGAACAAAUGUGUACAACACUGA
rnacentral:rRNA from 1 species